rnacentral:rRNA from 1 species
CCUACGGGGGGCUGCAGUGAGGAAUAUUGGUCAAUGGGCGCAAGCCUGAACCAGCCAUGCCGCGUGCAGGACGACUGCUCUAUGAGUUGUAAACUGCUUUUGUACGAGGGUAAACGCAGGUACGCGUAUCUGUCUGAAAGUAUUGUACGAAUAAGGAUCGGCUAACUCCGUGCCAGCAGCCGCGGUAAUACGGAGGAUUCAAGCGUUAUCCGGAUUUAUUGGGUUUAAAGGGUGCGUAGGCGGUCGGAUAAGUUAGAGGUGAAAUCCCGAGGCUCAACUUCGGAAUUGCCUCUGAUACUGUUCGGCUAGAGAGUAGUUGCGGUAGGCGGAAUGUAUGGUGUAGCGGUGAAAUGCUUAGAGAUCAUACAGAACACCGAUUGCGAAGGCAGCUUACCAAGCUACUUCUGACGUUGAGGCACGAAAGCGUGGGGAGCAAACAGGAUUAGAUACCCCUGUAGUC